rnacentral:rRNA from 1 species
GACGAACGCUGGCGGCGUGCUUAACACAUGCAAGUCGAACGAUGAAACCUAGCUUGCUAGGUCGAUUAGUGGCGAACGGGUGAGUAACACGUGACUAACCUGCCCCUUUCUCUGGGAUAACGCUCCGAACGGAGUGCUCAUACCGGAUACUCACAUCGAGGCACAUGCCUUGGCGUGGAAAGUUUUUCGGCAAGGGAUGGAGUCGCGGCCUAUCAGCUUGUUGGUGAGGUAACGGCUCACCAAGGCGACGACGGGUAGCCGGCCUGAGAGGGCGACCGGCCACACUGGGACUGAGACACGGCCCAGACUCCUACGGGAGGCAGCAGUGGGGAAUAUUGCACAAUGGGCGCAAGCCUGAUGCAGCGACGCCGCGUGAGGGAUGAAGGUCUUCGGAUUGUAAACCUCUUUCAGUAGGGACGAAGCGAAAGUGACGGUACCUAAAGAAGAAGCACCGGCUAACUACGUGCCAGCCGCCGCCGUAA